AUUAGUAUCUAGCUGUCGAUAUUUUUAGACGUAAAUGUGCGCGUAGAAGGCCGCUAGUAGAACGCUGGGGGUCACAAUGGUUGCGAAGUACAGGAAAAGAAGGUAGUUGUAAUCCAUAACUUCGACGAAGUAGCAACCCGGUGAGCUGUCGACUGCUGCGUGCCAACCGAACAACGGAAGGAGUCCAACACCGGCGCCUGCUACCCAGCACGCAGAGAUGAUAACUAAAAUAAAAAUUUAAAAAUAAGGAAUCGCAAUUGUCAAACAAAUUUCACAAUUAAUAAAUCAUAAUUAUGUAGUGUGAUGAAUUGUCACAAACGAAUUA